rnacentral:tRNA from 1 species
UGCACGUGUGGAGCGGCUUCGGCGCCGCCGGCUACGUGACCCGGGCGUGGCAGCUGGUGCGGCCGCGCGGCUGAGUGCGAGUUGCCGACGUGAAA